rnacentral:rRNA from 1 species
ACUACGGGUGGCAGCAGUGGGGAAUAUUGCACAAUGGGGGAGACCCUGAACCAGCGACGUCGCGUGAGUGAAGACGUAAUUAGUUAUGGAAAGCUCUAUCAGCAGGGAAGAAAAUGACGGUACCUGAGUAAGAAGCCCCGGCUACAUACGUGCCAGGAGCCGCGGGUAUACGUAGGGGGCAAGCGUUAUCCGGAUUUAGUGGGGGUAAAGGGGGCGUAGGCGGUAGUGCAAGUCUGGAGUGAAAGGCGGGGGCUCAACCCCCGGAGUGCGCUGGAAACUGUACGGCUGGAGUGCAGGAGAGGUAAGCGGAAUUCGUAGUGUAGCGGUGAAAUGCGUAGAUAUUAGGAGGAACGCC